AUGCGACGAUUGCUGGACAGCAGCUGGAUAAAGUUUGGACCUGCUGGAAGAGAUGACUGGGUGUCUGGGUCCCCAUCGCCACCUACUGCAGAACAACGACUACAGGGAUACCACUGGAAUGAGCUUUCGAGCGAAAACGACUUGAAAUCGGAGCUUAUCCUGUACGUCGUCCUCCCGCUCGUCACGCUCCUCGUGUUCGGUGUCGCGUUCGUCCUUCUUUACCGAAGGUUCAGGCAGAACAAGCUCGGGCUUGCCAACAUCCUCGCGCUGGACCUGCAGCACCCGGAGCGCAACGCCGAGAUCCUGUCGUCACUCACCGGGAGCGCGGAGCGGCUCAACAGCUCCAGCUCGGACUUGUCUGACGGGGUUUUCCUCAUGGUUUACCUCCCGCCGCCCUACGAGGACACGCUGACGAAGAUAACGCGGGCCGCCAGCCUCAGCAGCGGGAAAGACGUCGAGUCCAUCAAGAUCGAAGACCUCGAAGCCAAACUGUGUCCAGAGCUCAAGUUUGUCUGAGACAGAAUAGCCUACUAAAGAGACACCGGGGCUAGAUGUCACAGAGCCCUGCUGGAAAAAAAAUGUAAAAAAAAAUAGACCCAUCCCAAGAAUUUCUAAUGGUUUUCCCUACAAAUACCACUACAAACAUUACAAACCAUCAACUUUUAACCAUUAAAACCAUUAAAAGAUGGUUUCCUAUAGUGUGUUUUGGGACAUGUUCCAUUGGGAUUUAUUGGUUUUAACAAGCCACCAACAGAAGGUGACCAAUUAAGAGAUGCACCGUUUCCAUUAAAAUCAAUACAAUUCCCAUUAUAACCAGUAAAACCAUUAGAAAUUUUGUGAUGGUGUCUGUUGUUUGUUUUAGCAGGGAGUGAAGAUGACACAAGGGCUAUCUCAGUUUUAUUGUUGUCUGUUGGUUGAAUUCUCAUCUACAAAAUGAAAAUAGCAGAGAAAAACUUAAAAGUAUGUGCCUGACCUUCUAAAAUAAACCUUGAGUGGUAAAUAUUCA
ensembl:lncRNA